UUUGAGCUGCUAGCUGGAGGCAGGCCGGGUGCCGAGUACCAUUUCGCUUGGAUUCGGUUGUUUUUCAUUAUUGCACCUUCAACAGACAAGAUUCCUCUACUAGGGGAAUUGUUUAGGUUUCACAAUCAAAAGUAAUUUUGAAGUCAUGGGGUAAUCGAACUGAAUUGAAAAGUGAAAUGUUGGAUUGUUUCUGACUGACUUCCUGCUUGGUUCACGUCUUUCUGUCGGAGUGCAACAAGCCGAUGAUGUAUUGCUGCAUGCAGACGUCCUGUAUCUUUGGCACUGGCCUGAAUGAGGAAAAUUAAGUUAAGAAUAUAA